UACGGAGGGUGCAAACGUUGCUCGGAAUUAUUGGGCGUAAAGCGCACGUAGGCGGCCGACUAAGUCGGGUGUGAAAGCCCUGGGCUCAACCCAGGAAGUGCACUCGAAACUGAUCGGCUUGAGUAUGGAAGAGGGUCGCGGAAUUCCCGGUGUAGAGGUGAAAUUCGUAGAUAUCGGGAGGAACACCAGUGGCGAAGGCGGCGACCUGGGCCAAUACUGACGCUGAGGUGCGAAAGCGUGGGGAGCAAACAGG
rnacentral:rRNA from 1 species